ACGAACGCUGGCGGCGUGCUUAACACAUGCAAGUCGAACGGAAAGGCCCUGCUUUUGUGGGGUGCUCGAGUGGCGAACGGGUGAGUAACACGUGAGUAACCUGCCCUUGACUUUGGGAUAACUUCAGGAAACUGGGGCUAAUACCGGAUAGGAGCUCCUGCUGCAUGGUGGGGGUUGGAAAGUUUCGGCGGUUGGGGAUGGACUCGCGGCUUAUCAGCUUGUUGGUGGGGUAGUGGCUUACCAAGGCCUUGACGGGUAGCCGGCCUGAGAGGGUGACCGGCCACAUUGGGACUGAGAUACGGCCCAGACUCCUACGGGAGGCAGCAGUGGGGAAUAUUGCACAAUGGGCGGAAGCCUGAUGCAGCAACGCCGCGUGCGGGAUGACGGCCUUCGGGUUGUAAACCGCUUUCGCCUGUGACGAAGCGUGAGUGACGGUAGUGGGUAAAGAAGCACCGGCUAACUACGUG
rnacentral:rRNA from 1 species